CUAAGAGUAACAAAAUAAAUUCUAAGAAAUUUAUUAAUUUAAGCAAACCUGUAAACAAUGUUUGUUUUUAAUACAAUACUAUUAUUGUGAGAAAUUGUUAUUAUAGGAAGGUUGAUGUUCCAAGAGGAAAAUAUAAAUGGAUUCCUAAAGAACAACCUCCUGUUACUAACAAAAAAGGCCCUAAGUUUAUUUGCGUACUCAUAACGGUUGAAAAUACCGUUAUCUAUGAUGUAAUUUUGAUACUAAAUGCACCCUUUUCUACUUA
rnacentral:lncRNA from 1 species